GCAAGCACCUACCCAGCAGUAGCAGGAGUAGUACGCAGCAUUUCAGAGCGAAGGCAGACGACAGACGAUUGAGCUGACGCGGUCAGUCGGUGUAUGAGUAUUAUUUAAUAGCGCAUUAAAUUCAUAUUUUUAACGCGCUUGUACAAUACCCAACGCUAGGCGAACAAAGCGAAGCGGCCCGAGUAAGCGGCCGGGAAUUGGCGGACCAGCGGCCGCUGUAUAGACGACGACGGGGCUUGAAAGCUUGAAUGGCACACUGACUGAAUGCUUCAAUGAGCGUGUGACGUGGCGCGCAUGCCUGUGUAUGGAAAUACAAUUCGAAAU